ACCUGUCUGCCUCCUAACCCUUAAAACCCCGUUACUCGCCUCCUUUCGGAGAGAAGGGGCUUGUAGAACGUGAAAUCCGCUUCUCCAUUCUCUGGCCUUCCUCAACCCUGUCUUGCUUGCAUCAAAUUCAGUUUCAUCCUUGGCAGCGCAGACCUGCGGGAAAGGACUCCCAGACCAAGCCAGGGGCGCUCCGAGUGAGCUUGGGCCCUCGGGGUGGGCCUUGCGUCUGAUUUCUUAGCCGCAGUGCGAAAGAAAAGGUGCUUCAGCAAAUUGCCUCAAGCGUCCAUGAAGUCUUUGCCAAAGUGGGUAAAACAGAAUGAGAGAGGCACAGGUCGGCCUCACCUGUCUUUCGGCGCCCAGCAUGGGGAAAGGAGGCUGUCUCCAGCUCCCGUUUUCAUAUCCUCUCUUUAAGAGGCUGAGCCAGAAUCUCUUGGUUUCAGUCCCCAAUUUCCUGGGAAAGAGAAUCUUGUCAGCCAGUGCCAGUCUGGUGUCUAGACUGGGAUUCUGAAGUUGCACAAGAUCCUCUUCAGUAAUAAAAGGCCCUGAAGCCACCUUUUGUCCCAAGAGCUGUCUCAGAUCAGUAAUAAGAGAAUGCUGCACCAUUUUACCAUGUGAAAACUCAGAAUGGUACCAAGAUUCUGGCUUCCUCCAGUGAAGAUGGCUUCAGGCUGGGAAGCUGAGGACAGAACAAAGCCAAUGGACAAAUCAUGGGCCCCCUACACAGUGGAAGACCACCCAGCCAUGAAACAACGAGCUCUUGAUCCACGCAGCAACUUGGAUGAAUCUCAGAUGCGUGAAGCUGAGCAGAAGAGUCUGGAUACGAAAGACCACAUGUCACCUGAUUCCAUUUCUAUGAGCUCUCUAGAAAAAGAGGCCUCAAAAUGUCCAAGAAUGGGUGGCACCAGCAGGCUUCAGGGAGAAGUGGUGUCUGGGGCUUAAAACCAGAGAGUCGGGCGCCCCCUGGUGGCUCAUUUUCAGAGACAUAAAGUCCAGGACCCGUAGCUACCAUUUACUCCCCUUGGUGGAGAGAGCUUGGGGGUGAGAGGAUAAUUGUUAUUCAUAACAAUAAACAUUAUAUGUAACACGUAUUAUUAUAUGUUAUAUCCAUACAUAAUAUAUAUACAUAUGCACCAACAAGCCCGAAGCCAUGCUGUGGGCCAGGCAGGGUUCCCACAGGAAGCAAAGUUACCAUUAUCCCUCCAGGGCAUGAGAACAAGACAAGGAAACGGAAGGUUGGAGGGGCCACACGACUGGAGGUCGCACAGCCUGUGAGUGGGAUGUGAAGUGGGAUAUGAACUUGGUCUGUCUGAGUUCAAGGAAAUGGAACGACGCUGCUCUGAGGGUGUGGGGGUGCUGGCUGCUUGGGUCCACGAGACCGAGUCCCAUCCUGUCUUUGAUUUGGAGGCAGCCUUCGGUCU